GGACUUUUGGUGGAGGAACCAGACUGGAUGUCGGAGGUGAAGCCCGUCCCACCUUGAUGGUUCUGCCCCCUUCCAAUGAGGAGCUGCAGCAGGGGAAGGCCACGCUCGUGUGCCUGGCCAACAAGGGCUUCCCCUCAGACUGGAGUCUGGCCUGGAAGGUGGACGGCAUCAGCGGCGGCAGCUGGGAGGAGCAGGGGCCCUGCGGUGAUGGAGCAGGACGCUCGUUACAGCUGGAGCAGCACCCUGAGGCUCUCUGCAGGCCAGUGGACGAAGGUGGGCUCUGUGACCUGUGAGGCCACCCA